CAUCCAAUGACUAGCGCCGUAGUACAACUAUAUUGAAUGGUCAUCUCGUCGGAUUAAUGUCACCUGUACUCUGCCCACAGAGCCUGUGGCGCAACUGAGAAGGAUAGGGGAACAACGACCUGUCAUGUGAUGUGGUGCGCUAGAUGAAAAUUUAUUUUUCAAAUAAAUUGUAUUUCAUAUGUAUUUCUACGAAUAUACCAUAUGGAAUUACUGCUUUAAUGAAUGAUCUAAGAAAUGUAGGAAAUAUGAAUUUACUUGUAUUGGCAGAUUACUUCAUACAUUUCAAUUGCCACGUGUAAGCAUAAACGUUGCCUUCUGCCGUAGCCCUUUGUUUGAAUGUCAACAUACAUUUCCUUUGUUCUUGACGUCACACAGGUAAUGGAAA
rnacentral:lncRNA from 1 species